UACUGUACGGAGAGUGGGGCAACUCACUCUCAGUGGCAAACGGGUGAGUAACGCGUGAAUAACCUGCCUUUGAGAAGGGGAUAACUGUCCGAAAGGAUAGCUAAUACCCUAUAUUGCCUUUUGUCACUAAGGCAAAAAGUGAAAGCGAGGCUGUCAAAGGCUUCGGCUCAAAGAGGGGUUCGCGUCCUAUCAGGUAGUUGGUGGGGUAAUGGCCUACCAAGCCAAUGACGGGUAGCUGGUCUUAGAGGAUGAUCAGCCACAGUGGGACUGAGACACGGCCCGCACCCCUACGGGGGGCAGCAGUGGGGAAUCGUGGGCAAUGGGCGCAAGCCUGACCCCGCAAUGCCGCGUGAGGGAAGAAGCCCUUCGGGGUGUAAACCUCUGUCAGAUGGGAAGAU
rnacentral:rRNA from 1 species